CUUAAGUAACUUUUGGACUUCUGCUAAAAUAUUAAAUUUUAUUAGUUUCCUUGGCUUUGGUAAGGCAAAAAAUCUUUCCAGGCAGUAAGUCUUGAGUCAUUACACUUUUACACACACACACACACACACACACGCACGCACACAGGCAACAACAAAAGAGAAAUUUUCUGUGUUUUGUUUUUGCAUAAUAAGUCAUUCCCUCCAAGGUUUACACAUUUAACCAUUAUGGUCUUGUUUAUAUGUAUAUUUUGCAAAAAUAUCUACCCAUAUCCUAUCUUUUAAUGAAAUCUUGUUUUAUUUUCUUUCCUAAUAAUAAUAAACUUGCUGAAUAUCCUUUGUUUUAAUCACUUUUGAGUUUCUGACAGUCUUUCUAUUAUAUUUUGCAUACAAUAAAUGCCAAUAAUUAAUUGAAUUAAACUAAUCAUUUUUUUAUAGAGUAUCCUUUAAUAUUGCAGGCAGACCGAGGCAUUUCAUAUCUGUUGUCUCUUGAUUCCUUUACUAAUCCCUCAAAGUGACUAUUACUUAGACCCCUCUAAAGAAGAUAAAAGAAACUUAAAUAAGUGACUUCCAAAACAGUGCUCUAAACACUAAUCCAGAGUGCAAAAUUAUCUCUCUCAUGGCAUGAUUUUCUACAUUUUAAAUUUUCAAUUAAUGAAUAUUUAUGUCCACAAUCAUCAAUUUAGGAAAGUUAUGAAGAAAACAAAAUGAUUUGAUUGCCUGGAAAAGAGUUUGGUAUAAACAUCGACAUCAUAGUAUUUCUAUAAAACUUAUCACCCAAAACAACCAAACAUUUGGUAUAUUUUCCUCUAGUAUAUUUUAUGGAUAUCUCCAUAUAAUUGAGAUUGAAUAUUCUUAAUUAUUUG
rnacentral:lncRNA from 1 species